rnacentral:rRNA from 1 species
CUGUCCAACGUUAAUCGGGGCAGGGUGAGUCGACCCCUAAGGCGAGGCCGAAAGGCGUAGUCGAUGGGAAACAGGUUAAUAUUCCUGUACUUGGUGUUACUGCGAAGGGGGGACGGAGAAGGCUAUGUUGGCCGGGCGACGGUUGUCCCGGUUUAAGCGUGUAGGCUGGUUUUCCAGGCAAAUCCGGAAAAUCAAGGCUGAGGCGUGAUGACGAGGCACUACGGUGCUGAAGCAACAAAUGCCCUGCUUCCAGGAAAAGCCUCUAAGCAUCAGGUAACAUCAAAUCGUACCCCAAACCGACACAGGUGGUCAGGUAGAGAAUACCAAGGCGCUUGAGAGAACUCGGGUGAAGGAACUAGGCAAAAUGGUGCCGUAACUUCGGGAGAAGGCACGCUGAUAUGUAGGUGAAGUCCCUCGCGGAUGGAGCUGAAAUCAGUCGAAGAUACCAGCUGGCUGCAACUGUUUAUUAAAAACACAGCACUGUGCAAACACGAAAGUGGACGUAUACGGUGUGACGCCUGCCCGGUGCCGGAAGGUUAAUUGAUGGGGUUAGCCGCAA